rnacentral:rRNA from 1 species
UACGAAGGGUGCAAACGUUGCUCGGAAUUAUUGGGCGUAAAGCGCACGUAGGCGGCUUGGCAAGUCGGAUGUGAAAGCCCCCGGCUCAACCGGGGAAGUGCAUCUGAAACUGGCGGGCUAGAGUACGAAAGAGGGUCGCGGAAUUCCCGGUGUAGAGGUGAAAUUCGUAGAUAUCGGGAGGAACACCGGUGGCGAAGGCGGCGACCUGGGUCGAUACUGACGCUGAGGUGCGAAAGCGUGGGGAGCAAACAGG